UGUCAGCAGCCGCGGUAAUACCGGCAGCACGAGUGAUGACCGCUAUUAUUGGGCCUAAAGCGUCCGUAGCUGGCCAUGCAAGUCCAUCGGGAAAUCCGCGCGCUUAACGCGCGGGCGUCCGGUGGAAACUGCAUGGCUUGGGACCGGAAGACCAGAGGGGUACGUCCGGGGUAGGAGUGAAAUCCCGUAAUCCUGGACGGACCACCGGUGGCGAAAGCGCCUCUGGAAGACGGAUCCGACGGUGAGGGACGAAAGCUCGGGUCACGAACCGGAUUAGAAACCCGCAUAGUCC
rnacentral:rRNA from 1 species